GGGGCUGUAGCUCAGAGGCAGAGCAUCUGCUUAACAUGCAGAAAGUCCCAGGUUCAAUCCCUGGUAUCUCCA